UACGAAGGGGGCUAGCGUUGUUCGGAAUUACUGGGCGUAAAGCGCACGUAGGCGGACUACUAAGUCAGGGGUGAAAUCCCGGGGCUCAACCCCGGAACUGCCUUUGAUACUGAGAGUCUCGAGUCCGGAAGAGGUGAGUGGAAUUCCGAGUGUAGAGGUGAAAUUCGUAGAUAUUCGGAGGAACACCGGUGGCGAAGGCGGCAUCCUGGACCGGUAUUGACGCUGAGGAGCGAAAGCCAGGGGAGCAAACGGG
rnacentral:rRNA from 1 species